AUUUGUCAAAUAUAUUUUGUAAUUGCGUGUUGUUACUUACCAAUUUGUGUGAAAAGUUUUAAUAAAUGUAUCUCAUGAACCGUAAGUUUGCGCAACCUAAAUCUUUGCAAAACUCUUUCUUUUAUGUUAAAGUUUGGGCUAAAUUUUGUUUUCCUAAUGGUGAUGGGACAUCCAUUGAAUCAUUAAAAACAGUGAAUGCCCAGCAUAGGAUACUAUGUGAAAAUCAUUUGAAUGAAUCUUCAUUUACCAGCAGCGAUAGGAAAAGACUUAACAAGUUAGAUUAAGAGUGAAUAGAGGAGGAUAUAGACCAAUUAAAAAACAAACAUUGUAGUCCAUAUAGAGCAAGUUAUGACAUCCAAGAACCAUCAACUAGCAAAGGUAUUUUGUAGGACUUGGACGUGAAAAAGUUCAGUGAACUUACACCUCAAAAGCAAACGCUGUCUAAGAGAUGCAGAAAAAAUCUAUCUGAAAUAGUGAGGCUCUGAAAAAAGUUUCAAGGUACAGUAAAGUGGAGCCACAUAGAGGAGUUUUAUAAUAAAGAUCGCGAGAAUCCCAACCGUGUUUGCUCCAGCUUUAACCCAGCACCACUUACAACCAGUACAGAAUGGCAAACAGAAAAUCAAAGAGCGCCUAGCAGAUCAAAUUUUAAGCCAUUCGGUUGCAGUUGGAAUAUUUGCCAAAAUGAAUGAUGACAAGACGCCCCUGGAACAACUGUCGCUGGACAAGCUUUUCGACUGAACGGAGAUUCGACCGACAGGAAAGAGGUAUAAACACUUAUUAUAAUAAUACUUGACAUCUGUAAUUGUGGAUGUGAUCCAAACCCCACGUCGGUCCAAUUAAAAACUAGCUUAGGCAAUUAGUAGCAGCGUUUUUAAUACGCUGAAAUUAUUAUUCUUCGAAGACACUAAACCUAGCUGCGCAACUGAAUAUCCCUGUAACAGCCAGAUGGAACCUCCAACCUCCCAGGGAAAUUAAGUGGCAUCGCCGACUCAGCUACGCCUACGUCUGGCUAUGCUCUCGGGGUGUAACUCCCAUGAUUU